rnacentral:rRNA from 1 species
UACGUAGGGGGCAAGCGUUGUCCGGAUUCAUUGGGCGUAAAGAGCUCGUAGGCGGCCUGUUGCGUCCGCUGUGAAAGCCCGGGGCUUAACCCCGGGUCGGCAGUGGAUACGGGCAGGCUAGAGGUAGGUAGGGGAGAAUGGAAUUCCCGGUGUAGCGGUGAAAUGCGCAGAUAUCGGGAGGAACACCGGUGGCGAAGGCGGUUCUCUGGGCCUUACCUGACGCUGAGGAGCGAAAGCGUGGGGAGCGAACAGG